rnacentral:rRNA from 1 species
UACGUAGGGUGCAAGCGUUAAUCGGAAUUACUGGGCGUAAAGCGUGCGCAGGCGGCUCUGCAAGACAGAUGUGAAAUCCCCGGGCUCAACCUGGGAAUUGCAUUUGUGACUGCAGCGCUGGAGUGCGGCAGAGGGAGAUGGAAUUCCGCGUGUAGCAGUGAAAUGCGUAGAUAUGCGGAGGAACACCGAUGGCGAAGGCAGCUCGCUGGGACGGUACUGACGCUGAGGCGCGAAAGCGUGGGGAGCAAACAGG